GACUGUUAGCGGUGGAUCACUCAGCUCGUGUGUCGAUGAAGAACGCAGCUAGCUGCGAGAAUUAAUGUGAACUCCAGGACACAUUGAUCCUUGACACUUCAAACACACUUUCAGCCCCCAUUAUACAUUUUUUUCUUAUUUUUU
rnacentral:rRNA from 1 species